GAGGGUAUAGCUCAGUGGUAGAGUGUGUGCUUAGCAUGUAUGAGGUCCUGGGUUCAAUUCCCAGUACCUCCA
rnacentral:tRNA from 1 species